CGUAAAACCACUAUCGCACUCUGAAGCGAGCGACGUAGAACUGAGUGUCUCAUCUAGAAACGAGUCACGAAAAACCGAAAGAGCUGCAGACCACGUCCAAAAACAUUUCUUUCGAAUACCGAAAAAAAAAACCGCUCAAGGGCACCCUUUCUCCCGGUCUUGGAAUCAAGCAUUCAGCCAACUCCUCCCCAAAACACCAUGAAUGUUCGCACGAAAAUUCUAUACGCCUUUUUAAGAUGAAGAAGCUCGUGAAAGGAAAGUUUUUUUUAUCGUUACCCCUACGUUUGCGAUCGUUUUCGAAUUUAAACUAGGUGAGAUUUUUUGUAGUUUUUAUUUCGACUCGAAAGACAUCUAACGGCAGAGUAAGUUACUCGAUCAGUCAAUCGGGAGUCGGAAUUGCCACGUCGUACGUGAUUAAAUACAUGGCGUCGCAAGAG